CGGAGGAUAAGAAACUAAAUAGGAUUCCCUCAGUAAUGGCGAAUGAACAGGGAUCAGCUCAGCAUGGAAAUUGGGGCCCUCGGCCUUGAAUUGUAGUCUCCAGAUGCAUCGCCAAUGGAGGCGCAGAUGUAAGCCUCUUGGAAAAGAGCAUCAACGAGGGUGAGAGUCCCGCUUGUCAUCUGCAGUCCCCCAUGCACGGCAUGCCUUCUAAGAGUCGCGUUCCUCGGAAUUGGAGCGUAAAUUGGGUGGUAAAUUUCAUCUCAAGCUAAAUAUUGGUUCGAGACCGAUAGCAAACAAGUACCAUGAGGGAAAGGUGAAAAGGACUUUGAAAAGAGAGUUAAAAGUGCCUGAAAUUGCUGAAAGGGAAGCGAAUGGAACCAGUGUUGCUUGGCGAGAUUGUCAUACGCAUUCGCGUGUGGUGGUUCUUGCCUUGUGUGUCAACGCCAGUUCGUGAUCGAGGAAAACUCUAGGGACAUGGUAGCUUGCCUCUGGGUGGGCGAAUGUGCCUGGUAGAACUCAUUUGCGGACUGAUUCAUUUGUGUCUGGUUGCAGUGCCUGUUGUCACUUCGACGUGCUGGUGAUGGGGGCUCGCUCCUUGAUCUUUGCGCUCGGGUGACUGGGCAUUUCCCUGACAUAUAGACGAUGACUAAAUGGUUCUAUUCGACCCGUCUUGAAACACGGACCAAGGAGUCUAACAUAUGUGCGAGUCCACGGGUGGUAAACCUGCUGGCGCAGUGAAAGCGACUGCUGGGAUUUUUGCACCAGCAACCGACCAAUCAAUUGAGAGAGGUUUGAGUAUGAGCAUAUCUGUUAGGACCCGAAAGAUGGUGAACUAUGCCUGAGAAGGGCAAACUCAGGGGAAACUCUGAUGGAGGCUCGUAGCGAUACUGACGUGCAAAUCGUUCGUCAUACUUGGGUAUAGGGGCGAAAGACUAAUCGAACCAUCUAGUAGCU
rnacentral:rRNA from 1 species